GGCCCGCACAAGCGGUGGAGCAUGUGGUUUAAUUCGAUGCAACGCGAAGAACCUUACCAAGGCUUGACAUACUACAGAUUUCUUUGAAAAAGGAAAGUGCCUUCGGGAAUGUAGAUACAGGUGGUGCAUGGCUGUCGUCAGCUCGUGUCGUGAGAUGUUGGGUUAAGUCCCGCAACGAGCGCAACCCUUAUUUUUAGUUGCCAGCGAGUAAUGUCGGGGACUCUAAAGAAACUGCCUACGCAAGUAGAGAGGAAGGCGGGGACGACGUCAAGUCAUCACGGCCCUUACGUCCUAGGCCACACACGUGCUACAAUGGUUGGUACAGAGGGCAGCUACCGGGUGACCGGAUGCGAAUCUCUAAAGCCAAUCUCAGUUCGGAUUGGAGUCUGCAACUCGGCCCCGUGAAGCUGGAAUC
rnacentral:rRNA from 1 species